rnacentral:rRNA from 1 species
GCAGCCGCGGUAAUUCCAGCUCCAAUAGCGUAUAUUAAAGUUGUUGCAGUUAAAAGCUCGUAGUUGAAUUUCGAGACCGGUUUAUUGGUCGUGCUUUUGUACGUACUGGUAUUAUUGGUUUCUCCUUUCUGACGAAUCAUAAUGCCAUUAAUUUGGUGUUUUGGGGAAUCAGGACUGUUACUUUGAAAAAAUUAGAGUGUUUAAAGCAGGCUCACGCUUGAAUACAUUAGCAUGGAAUAACGAAAUAGGACGUUUGAUUUUAAUUUUGUUGGUUUCUAGGAUCGACGUAAUGAUUAAUAGGGAUAGUUGGGGGCAUUAGUAUUCAAUUGUCAGAGGUGAAAUUCUUGGAUUUAUUGAGGACUAACUACUGCGAAAGCAUUUGCCAAGGAUGUUUUCAUUAAUCAAGAACGAAAGUUAGGGGAUCGAAGACGAUCAGAUACCGUCGUAGUCUUAACCAUAAACUAUGCCGACUAGGGAUCGGAUGAUGUUAAUUUUUUAAUGACUCAUUCGGCGCCUUACG